rnacentral:tRNA from 1 species
GGCGAGGUAGCUCAGUCGGCAGAGCAGAGGACUCAUAAGCCUUGUGUCGCGGGUUCAAGUCCCGCCCUCGCCA